rnacentral:tRNA from 1 species
GCCGGGUAGGCAGAGUGGACUAUUGCGCGGGCCUUGAGAGCCCGUGGCCGUUCUACGGCCUCGUCGGUUCGAAUCCGGCUCCCGGCG